rnacentral:sRNA from 1 species
GUCGUGCCGGUUCGAUCGGGAUACUCAUCAAAUUACAUCGAAAACUGAGAUGACUUCUCUUGUCAAUGGCGGGCCACAAUGCGUGUCACACACGUAAGCCGAAAGGUCGGUGGAUUACAACGACAGAGAGCGCUCGAAUCUUUUAACAAAGGAGUUUUCAUCACAUCAUCGGGCGACCC